GGCAUUGGGAUUGGGAGUGGGAUUGGACAUGGCUCAGACCCAGCUCAGCGCCCGUUCACAGCCCUGCCCUCGUCCUCAGCCCCAGUUCCAUCCCUCUUCCUCAUUUCCAUCCUCAUUUCCAUUCCCAUCCCUUUAUCCCUCCCCAUCCUCACCCUCAUUUCCAUCCCUGAUCCAUCCUCAGUCCCAUUUCCAUCCUCAUUUCCAUCCUCAUUUCCAUUCCCAUCCCUUUUUCAUUCCCUAUCCUCAUCUUCAUUUCCAUCCCUCAUCCAUCUUCAUCCUUGUCCUCAGACCCAUUUUCAUCCGCAUUCCCAGUAUUUCCAGUAUUCCUGUUAUUCCCAUUAUUCCCAGUAUUCCCAGUAUCCCUCACCUGACCCUGAAGUCAUCAGCUGCCAGCCUUGUUAUCCCCAGUGUUCCCAGUAUUCCCAGUAUUCCCAGGAUCCCCAGUGUUCCCAGUAUCCCUCACUUGACCCGGAAGUCGUCGACCACCAGCCUUGUUAUCCCCAGUGUUCCCGUUAUUCCCAGUAUUCCCAGUAUCCCCAGUGUUCCCAGUAUCCCCAGUGUUCCCGUUAUUCCCAGUAUCCCCAGUGUUCCCAGUAUCCCUCACCUGACCCUGAAGUCAUUGGCUGCCAGCCUUGUUAUCCCCAGUGUUCCCAGUAUCCCCAGUAUUCCCAGUGUUCCCGUUAUUCCCAGUAUCCCCAGUGUUCCCGUUAUUCCCAGUAUUCCCAGUGUUCCCAGUAUCCCUCACCUGACCCUGAAGUCAUCAGCUGCCAGCCUUGUUAUCCCCAGUGUCCCCAGUGUUCCCAGUAUCCCCAGUGUUCCCAGUAUCCCCAGUGUUCCCAGUGUUCCCGUUAUUCCCAGUGCCCCCAGUGUUCCCGUUAUUCCCAGUAUUCCCAGUAUCCCCACUAUCCCCAGUGUCCCCAGUGUCCCUCACUUGACCCUGAAGUCAUCGGCUGCCAGCCUUGUUAUCCCCAGUGUUCCCAGUAUUCCCAGUAUCCCCAGUGUCCCUCACUUGACCCGGAAGUCAUCGGCUGCCAGCCGCGCGUUGUCGAUCUGCAGCAGCGUCCGAGCGUUGUCCACUGUGGCCUCCAGGAUCUGGGACACACAGACACGGGACACAGGGACACCCGGACACAGGGACGCAGGGACAGACGGACACACGGACACGGGGACAGAUGGACAGACGGACACAGGGACAGACACACAGGCACAGGGACACAGGGACAGACACACAGGCACAGGGACACAUGGACACC
rnacentral:lncRNA from 1 species